rnacentral:lncRNA from 1 species
CUGGGUCAUGGGGGAUGAGUGUGGGAGGCUGACCUCCAGAGCCACAGCCACGCUCUUCCUCUUCUGUGAGCUCUCAGUUCGUAUCCUUUGUUUACCUUGGACUGGACAAUAGCCUGUUUCUUAUUGACUCCCCAGAGCGUUCUACCUAUUAGAGAACCCAGCUUUGGAUGAUACGUGUUACAGACUCCUUCACCCCCAGUUUAUUGUUUUGAUUUUUGAUUUAACCCGUUGGCCUGUUUUCCCAGUUGAAACCCGUGAUCGUUAGUAGUAGUCUUUCCUUUUAUGGUUUCU